AUUGAACGCUGGCGGCAGGCCUAACACAUGCAAGUCGAGCGGAUGAAGGGAGCUUGCUCCUGGAUUCAGCGGCGGACGGGUGAGUAAUGCCUAGGAAUCUGCCUGGUAGUGGGGGAUAACGUCUGGAAACGGGCGCUAAUACCGCAUACGUCCUGAGGGAGAAAGUGGGGGAUCUUCGGACCUCACGCUAUCAGAUGAGCCUAGGUCGGAUUAGCUAGUUGGUGGGGUAAAGGCCUACCAAGGCGACGAUCCGUAACUGGUCUGAGAGGAUGAUCAGUCACACUGGAACUGAGACACGGUCCAGACUCCUACGGGAGGCAGCAGUGGGGAAUAUUGGACAAUGGGCGAAAGCCUGAUCCAGCCAUGCCGCGUGUGUGAAGAAGGUCUUCGGAUUGUAAAGCACUUUAAGUUGGGAGGAAGGGCAGUAAGUUAAUACCUUGCUGUUUUGACGUUACCAACAGAAUAAGCACCGGCUAACUUCGU
rnacentral:rRNA from 1 species